GCCGGGCGCGGUGGCUCAAGCCUGUAAUCCCAGCACUUUGGGAGGCCGAGACGGGCGGAUCACGAGGUCAGGAGAUCGAGACCAUCCUGGCGAACACGGUGAAACCCCGUCUCUACUAAAAAUAAAAAAAAUUAGCNNNNNNNNNNGCUAAUUUUUUUUAUUUUUAGUAGAGACGGGGUUUCACCGUGUUCGCCAGGAUGGUCUCGAUCUCCUGACCUCAGGUGAUCUGCCCGCCUCGG
rnacentral:SRP_RNA from 1 species